CCUACGGGUGGCAGCAGUGAGGAAUAUUGGUCAAUGGACGCGAGUCUGAACCAGCCAAGUAGCGUGAAGGAUGACUGCCCUAUGGUUUGUAAACUUCUUUUAUAUGGGAGUAAAAUGUACCGUGUGUGGUGUUUUGUAUGUACCAUAUGAAUAAGGAUCGGCUAACUCCGUGCCAGCAGCCGCGGUAAUACGGAGGGUUCGAGCGUUAUCCGGAUUUAUUGGGGUUAAGGGGAGCGUAGGUGGAUUGUUAAGUCAGAUGUGAAAGUUUGCGGCUCAACCGUAAAAUUGCAAUUGAUACUGGCAGCCUUGAGUACAGUUGAGGUAGGCGGAAUUCGUGGUGUAGCGGUGAAAUGCUUAGAUAUCACGAAGAACACCGAUUGCGAAGGCAGCCUACUAAACUGCCACUGACAUUGAUGCGCGAAAGUGUGGGUAUCAAACAGGAUUAGAUACCCCUGUAGUC
rnacentral:rRNA from 1 species